rnacentral:rRNA from 1 species
UAUGGAGAGUUUGAUCCUGGCUCAGAACUAACGCUGGCGGCGUGUCUUAGUCAUGCAAGUCGAACGAGAAAGCGUUCUUCGGAACGUGAGUACAGUGGCGGACGGGUGAGUAACACGUGGGGAACCUGCCCUCAAGCUGGGAACAACCCGCCUAACGGCGGGCUAAUACCGAAUGUGGUUGUCAGUCCGCAUGGUAUGACAACUAAAGGUGGCCUCUCCUUGGAAGCUACCGCUUGUGGAUGGCCCCGCGCUCAAUUAGCUAGUUGGUAGGGUAACGGCCUACCAAGGCGACGAUUGAUAGCCGACCUGAGAGGGUGAUCGGCCACACUGGGAUUGAGAUAAGGCCCAGUCUCCUACGGGAGCCAGCAGUCUAGAAAUUUGGGCAAUGGGCGAAAGCCUGACCCAGCGACGCCGCGUGGGGGAUGAAGCUUCUCGGAGUGUAAACCCCUGUUAGGUGGGACGAAAGCCCGUAUACGAAUAGUAGGCGGGUUUGACGGUACCACCAGAGGAAGCUCCGGCUAACUCCGUGCCAGCAGCCGCGGUAAUACGGGGGGAGCAAGCGUUGUUCGGAGUUAUUGGGCGUAAAGGGCGUACAGGCGGUGGUGUCAGUCAGAUGUGAAAUCCCCCGGCUCAACCGGGGACCUGCAUUUGAUACUGCAUCACUUGAGUACAGGAGAGGAGAGCGGAAUUUUCGGUGUAGCGGUGGAAUGUGUAGAUAUCGAAAAGAACACCAGUGGCGAAGGCGGCUCUCUGGCCUGAUACUGACGCUGACGCGCGAAAGCUAGGGGAGCAAACAGGAUUAGAUACCCUGGUAGUCCUAGCCGUAAACGUUGGGCACUAGGUGUUGGAGGUAUCGACCCCUUCAGUGCCGAAGCUAACGCAUUAAGUGCCCCGCCUGGGGAGUACGGCCGCAAGGCUGAAACUCAAAGGAAUUGACGGGGGCCCGCACAAGCGGUGGAGCAUGUGGUUUAAUUCGAAGCAACGCGAAGAACCUUACCUGGGCUUGACAUCCUGGCGAAACCUCCUGGAAACAGGAGGCCUCCUUCGGGACGCCAAGACAGGUGCUGCAUGGCUGUCGUCAGCUCGUGUCGUGAGAUGUUGGGUUAAGUCCCGCAACGAGCGCAACCCUUGUCCUUAGUUGCCAGCAGGUGAAGCUGGGCACUCUAAGGAGACCGCCGGUGAUAAAUCGGAGGAAGGUGGGGAUGACGUCAAGUCCUCAUGGCCUUUAUUGACCAGGGCUACACACGUGCUACAAUGGCCGAUAUAAAGGGUUACAAUACCGCGAGGUGGAGUCAAUCCCAAAAAGUCGGUCCCAGUUCGGAUUGCAGUCUGAAACUCGACUGCAUGAAGUCGGAAUCGCUAGUAAUCGCGGAUCAGCAUGCCGCGGUGAAUAUGUUCCCAGGCCUUGUACACACCGCCCGUCAAGUGAUGGAAGCCGGGAGUACCCGAAGUCGUUACUCUAACCCUCGGGAGGAGUGCGCCGAAGGUAAAACUGGUGACUGGCACUAAGUCGUAACAAGGUAGCCGUACCGGAAGGUGCGGCUGGAUCACCUCCUUUCUA